AAUGAAUAUUUUAAUAUAUCAAUUGUAUUUUUUUCCUUAUUUACUUUGAAUUUGUUAAGAUCUCUUUAUUAUGGAUUUGAGCAAAAGUAAUUUCCUAAAAGAAUUGCAAUAAAUGUUAUUUGGGCUCUAGUCCACGUGGUAGCUGGGCAAUUCGGCCCAAGAAGCCAGGUCCGGCUUGGUUGGGCCGGGUUAGACCCAGACCGACCCAACCCCUCUCACUCUCUGCUUCCUCUCUCGUCCUUCACGCGACACGCACGCACGCAAGUUCCCCCAUGGCGACGCCACGCUGCCGCUUUUUCCCAGCCGCCACCGGCCUUCUCCGGCGUCGCUGCCUACCGGACCUGCUCCGCCUCCUCCUGAACUCCAACCCCCCCAGCUCGAUUUGGCUUUGGUGGUCUCUCUCGUUCGCCCCCGACCCCGAAACCCUAGCCACUGCCGGCCAAUUCGGUCAUCGCCGGCCUCGGCAAGCAUUGCCGUCGGUCGAGGUGGCGCCGCCACAGCCGUCUCCGUCCGCUCCCCUUCGCCGCUUCUUCACCUCUGUCGUUUGGCUGAUGCGGUCUCGCCUCAGACUCCGCCCCGGCUUAUUACCGCCGCCGCGCGUCCACGCUGCACUGGCCGGACUUCCGCCGACCCUUCAACUGCCGCGACGCCGCCACUAGCAUCGACACGCCCCUGGCCAAACCAAGCUGUGGAAUCGGCUUGGUUGCCAGCGCGGUGCCGCGCUCCGCCUGCUGCUCCCCAAUGGCGACCCCGCCUCCUCGUCGACCACGAGCCCCAGCUCGAGCUCCUGGUGGUUAUGUGGUGUUAGUUGCUGCUGCGGUGGUGAUGGGGUACUGCAGUACUGCUGCUCUGAUGCUUACUUCAGCUGCGACCCCGACGUCGGCGGGACGGUGCCGUAGGCGCAACCCCAGCAUCCUCUGCCUUGCCUGCCUCCUCUACAGGGCACUGUGAGCUACUCCUCUCUUUCUCUAGGCAUAAAUUUGGUGGUCAUGAAUUUGCGUGUGCUCGAACUGGUUGUUGUAUGUCAAUGGGGAUCAUCAUAUGAUGCAAUGUGAACCUGCUGCUAACUUAUUACUAAUAAUAAUGCCUCCGUUUGGAUGUUUUGAUCAUCCCAAACCUGGGUGUGGCCUGAUUUUAUAUCCUGAUGAAACUGAAGCGUAAUAAUGUUGUUAAAUAGGUACUGUUUUAGUGGCUGAUGGAAUAGGUGUUACAUACACCUCGCAGUAUCUGGAUGGGCUACAUAUACAUUCAGGUUAUACAAUUUAGGGUAUUGAUUUCCCUAGUGAUGUGGUUGAUUUAGAGUGCUUCUAUUGGCUGCGUUACUGAUUCUAGAUUAUCAGGUGAUAGUCUGUUCAUACAUCAUCAUGGCCUGGGACAUAUUGAUAUAUACUUGCUAGAUCACCAAUGGGCUUAUAGUUAUUGUAGCUUUGUUGUGGUGCAUAUGUGGAUGACGGUUACCUGAAUGGUUUGUUAAGAGUCCCUAGAGCCCUUGGUGACUGGCAUCUUGAGGUAAUGAAAGAAGCUGGUAGGCCUGGAUGACCGUUAUGCUGCUUAUUUUCUGGAUGUUCUGCAACUACGUUGUACUAGAGGAUUCUGCACAUUUUGAAUAUGCGUACCAAUCAUAUGAAUUGCAUUUACGUAUCUUUGCUUAUCAUAGGAGAUAUUUCUAAAGGCAUAAUAUUAGUGACGUUUGUUCAACAUGUGGGCUUGAUGAUUCCUUGAUCUUGACUAUGUCAUGCUUCACCAAGGUACUAGUGUCACUUAACUAUUAGUAAAUUUGUGCACAUACGAGUACGUACACUUGUUGUACUGUGAGUCAAAGUCUCUCUUAUAUUGAUCAGCUCCUAUGUAAAAAAAAGUGCCCUGUUUCCGUGACUAAAUGCAUAUGUAGUCCAGUCAUAGUUGUGUGUACUGCUAGUGUUAGUUGUAUCAUCAAGUGUGCAAUGCUACCAUGGAUUUGUAGCAUCAAGUGUUACUUGUAUCAACUGCAUCGCACCUUCUGUUAGUCGUAUGAAGUGUUGACUGUGUUAGUUCUAUCUACUGUAUCGCAACAUCUGUUAGUCGUAUGAAGUGUGAAAUUUGAUUCACUAAAUAAAAUUUGCUUCACAGGGACGUGCUCUAGUUUAAUUGAUUGUUUGUUGCUUAUUAUGCCUAGAUAGUUACUUUCGUAUCUCGCAAUGCUGCCGCGAUGCAAACUGGUAUAAUGACAAGUGUUCCAUUCACUUCAUAUAGUGUUUACUUGGCUAAAACAUGCUUUUUUUGUAGUAAAAAUUCCAUCUCCGUUUUGCUGACUCAAAUUACUACUUCUUUCAAGGUACCAUGUUGAAUACUGAAGGCGAUGCUGAUCAUUGAUGCUGUAAAGGAGCAUAUUCUUCUAGCUAGACAGGUACACUGCUGAAGAAUGAGAUCAACUGAAGGUGAUGCUGUCACAUUGUGAUGGUGUUUGAAUUGGAAACAUGGUGAUGAUGUUCACAGAGUACAUAUUGAGAUAUUGUGUUGAACAUCCACUACAUACUAUGUUGACACUGUGUUUACAGUGUGUAACUGAUAUUGGGUGAUAAUUACAGAAUAAAGUGCACUGGAUUAAUGUGUAGGCAUUGUGUGCUGAUUCUUGUAUGACAGUACAUAUGUUCAUAUUGUGUGCUUCUUGUAUGCUGCCAUUGUU